rnacentral:rRNA from 1 species
CACGUUCGGAUUGUAGUCUGCAACCCGACUACAUGAAGCCGGAAUCGCUAGUAAUCGCGGAUCAGAAUGCCGCGGUGAAUACGUUCCCGGGUCUUGUACACACCGCCCGUCACACCAUGGGAGUUGGAAAUGCCCGAAGUCAGUGGCCCAACCGGAAGGGGGGAGCUGCCGAAGGCAGGUUCGAUGACUGGGGUGAAGUCGUAACAAGGUAGC